rnacentral:tRNA from 1 species
AUUUUGUAAGUAUAAACAAGUACAUUUGACUUCCAAUCAUAAAGACUUAGAUUAAACUAAGACAAAAUA